AGGUGUGAGCCACCAUGCCCGGCCAAGUCUGUCUUUUAAUUACGAGCGCCACACAAGCUUGUAACACAUUUAAACAAUAAAAAGGUAAAGGACACGGAGAGUGGUGGUUCCUGUCCUGGUCCCUGCCACUCACACGUACAAACGCCCUCCCGGGACAGUGCUGUCACCCUCUGCCAAUGCUCUCGGUUGGCUCCACUGCCCAUUUUCUAAAAGCCCCUCCACUGCCCUCUCCCUCAGCGUCCUUUGAGCUCGUGCUCCUGGCUCACGGCUGCACGGGGUGACAUGCGUGGCCCUCACCACUCUCUCAUGCGUUAGGCACCAUCUAUCUACUCACAAUUCUUCGCUGAGUCCUUGUGGAGUCAGUGUGGAGGUGCCUCAGCCUGCACGAGCGCAGAGCUGCCUGGAGGACUCAUGGUUGUGACUGAGACCAUCAGAAUGGGCGGGAGGCAGAUGGCGACCUUCGCCAUACCAUGAACAUGGCCUUGCUGAGCUGGUGAGCUCUCUGCCCUGUGAGCCCCCAUCUGGUGCAGGGAUGUGGAGCUGAGAGGCUCUUGGUGAUGCAUCAGGAGCUGGUGCUGGGUCCAUGAGUGCCCUCUCCACACCUGGGCCGGCAGGGCCCGCACCAGCAGCUGGCAUCCAUUCUGACGAGAGAGUUGCUAAGCACGCUGGAUACCAGCCACACAGCCACAGAGGCUCUGCAGAGAUGACACACAGCCGUGAAGGGCUCCAGAGAGCUUUUAUGGAGCUGGCCUUGGGGAAGGAGCAGAGAGGAAGGGUGCGACCCGUGGGGUGCUGGCUCAUGGCCCGCCAGGCUGGUGCUGCUUGCUGCAGUGGUGUCCUUCAAGGUCAAACCCCCACCCCAUGUGAAUGUAGCCUACACGACCCACUGGUUCUAUCCUACUGAUGUGGAUUGUGUUGUGGGAAGAAUGUUGACUGGCAGCAGGUAACUCUAAUAGGCGAGUCCUCUCCAGGCUGGAGCAGAGUGAGACACCCUUGGUCACACACCCAAAUUUAAGUCAUGCCGUGCACUCCGAGCUGGAGGAGACACAGCCCUCAGCUCCAGUCGGCAGGACUAAGCCAUGCUCUGUUGGGCUGAGGCAUCCGUCACGUCAUUAAGUAAGCUACUGGGAAAUCCAGUAAGGAUGUUUCUCUGCCUUUUAAAUUUUUAAAUAUGAACAAGGGACAUAAAGCCUGCGUUUGUUUCUGAAUUGUAGUGUGUUUUCUCCAGGAAUUAAUUCAAGGAGUAAAAAUCUUCCACCGAGACAUACGUCAAAAUACCAGUAAGGAAGGAAUGCUCAUAUUCUACUUCAGGAACUUUGAAAAUGCGUCCCAAACGAUAGCUUAACAGGCUUCAGAGUGCAGCGGCUCAGCCUGGACUCCGCAGAUCACCCUUGGGUCUGGCUGAGGAUGUGUGGGGUAGCUGACGCAACGCCGUUAUUCCGGCAAUUACAAAUCCAUCUGCUCCUGGGGCAGCUGUGUGCUGGCUUGGCUGAAUUGUUUGCAUGAAACCAAACAGAAAAAGUGUUACAGUUGAGUCCAACUUGCAGGCGUGACAGUGACUUCGCUAGCACCCUCCCGGAAGGCAUUUCCACACUUCUGUUCAGGGCCUGUCAGAGAGGGCGCAGAAUAGCGGGCAGGCCAUUUCCACCGGGAGCUUUGCCUUUGCAGUUCAGCACCGCGCCCGCGUAGGACGGAGGGUGGGACAGAGGCUGUCUUCACUCCAGGCUCUGACUUCCAUUAAAAAAAAAACAAAAAACAAAAAACACUCACAGGUUUCCUUUCUUAGAAGCAAAGUCCUGAUACACAAGUGUCUAUCCUGGUCUGUGUUCCUCGAGGCCUCAGCAGCUGGCCCCAAUUCUCCUUCUCAGAAGGGACUUCUGGGCCCAGCAGAGGCUUCACCUCAGCCCACAAAACCCACCCUUGUUUUCAGAAGCACCAAGGGUCCCGCAGAGCGCAGUGCAGCAGGUGGGCAGAGCGAGGGGCUCACCCUCCCACCGCCGGGCUGCAGUGGCUUCGCAGCAGAGCGCCAAGCAGCAGGAACCUCUGGAGCUGAAUGAACGGUACAGCACAGGCGCUGCCUGGGACCCUGAAUGCCGUCCAGAGGGGCUGCUGUCUCAGGAUCCCACAGCUGCAGGUCUGGGCCCGGCUCAAAGGGCUUUCCAUCAGGAACAGCCCAAGUGGGCUGCAGCCUCUCUGUGGCAGGGAGGGCGUGAGGCCGUCGGGGUCAAGGAGGAUGUGGUGUGAGGUGUCUGACUCAGCCCUGAGCUGCCCCCAGGAAGGCACACGGCAGCCAGGCCUGAGGGGACAGAGUCGAGGGCGGACUGUGGGCAAACCUGGCACGGAUGGCAACAAUGGUAGGCGUCGUGAGGCAGGGCCAUGCCAGGAGAAAAACCAGGGAGCCAGGGAGACCUCGUCUGAAGAAGCUGCCAGGGAAGGUAGACUUGAAACUUUGCAUUUUCCCUUUGGCUUUGAUGACAGGAAACAACUUUACCUGUUGAGCUGGUGCCUUUUCUGUAAGCAAGUUCUCAAAGCCCUUCCAAGUGUUUUCCGCCACCUGGACUGAGGCUUCUGCCCCAGCUUUGACAGCCAGGCAUCAUUAGCAGGGAUAUUAAUGUUUUGUCAGGGCUGUUCUAUGAGAUUCCGGGUGCCGGGUGUCCUCCAGACCAGACCCACCUGUGGGACUCAGCGCUGUAGCCCCUACUCCUAAGAAGCAAGUCUGAAGAGGGCCGUUCUGCCAGGCAGUGGCAGAAGCCUUGGCAGGUGCCUCUGCACCUGCCCAGUGGAGAGGCUGAGCUAUGUCAAGAGGGUGGCAGGGCUGCUCCUCCACUGUGCGUCCUCGCUGACCGAGGGUGUGUUUCACAGCGGUGAUGGGUGCUGACUGAGGAUGUUUCACAGCGGUGACGGGUGCCAACUGACUGAGGGUGUUUCACAGGGGUGAUGGGUGAGACUGACUGAGGGUGUGUUUCACAGCGGUGAUGGGUGAGACUGACUGAGGGUGUGUUUCGCAGCGGUGACAGGUGCCGACUGACUGAGAAGUCCUACAAGCCUUCUGCUCUGAGCCCAGGCCUAGCUGCCAGGUGUCAAAUCAGCUCAUACUCGGGGCGUUUCUGAGCUGCUCCUUGGCCAGGCAGAGCUGCGGGCCCGUCAGCAUUCACAGGGCACCCCAGAGGCGCCAGGCACAGCCUUAUGACCCAGCAUUUUGUUCAACAUGGCUCUCUUCUUGCUUCUCACUCUAUCUGGCUCUGGAAGGGAAUUCUACAUGAAGAAGAAAGCAUAGGUGGUUGUGCAAGUCAGGUGAUGACUUCUGUUGUCCGUUCUCCAUCCCAGCCCUGCAGCUCAUCAGCGUGCUCUUCUCUCUAGGCUGACAGCCUCUCGGAUCCAAGGUACGUACAAAUGCAAGGCCCGAUUCAGGACCAAAAAGCACUCUGAUGGCUUGGAAGAGUGGCUCGUUUCUGAGGUGGAGGCACAGAAGUCUGGAGGGACUCUGUGUGUGGAAACUCCUGUCAGGGCAGCUGCCCGUGUUCCCCAAGCACACGUUGUACACAGAGAAAGCCGUGUGGGCUCUGAGGCCCUCCAGACAACAGAACAGGUUGCCUGCCCAGUUUUGUCAUUUGGUGGCUCCUGCCAGGCCACAGGGCCCAGGGGGAGCCCAAGAGCCCUCUUCCCACAGUGUAGGGCCUGGCAGCUACCCCUUCCCAGGGACUGCGCUAUCUUGGUGGUUUUCUCCUGGCCCCGCUGGACUGUGCUGAGGUGACAGUGAGGCAGGGAGGCACACCUGGGACGGGGGCCUUCUAGCAAAGAGACAACUGGUGUCCCAUACUUCUAGCAGGUCCGCAUCCUGGCAGAAUGUCCUGAAGACAGGAAUGGAAAUUCCCUCAGAACAUCUCCGUUGUCUGGGCUCUCCCAUCUCCACGGUAACACUCCAGGAUGGUCUGUAAUCAGGAGGGGGCUGGGUUGCCAUGAUUCAGGUCUGAAGCCACUCCCAGAGCGGGAAAAGCCUCUGAGGAUUCUGGAGGUCACACCUGCCCAAGCCCGUUCCUCCACUCUGACAAUGGGGUCCCUGGGAGGUGGCCCUGGGAGCCAGAUUCUUAAGGGAAGAGCCAGGGUGAGAAGCUCUGAACUCUUGAGGGAGAAUCUGUGCCUGCUCUGCUUGGCAGGGCUGAGUACACCCCCAGGGCCUAAUGAGAAACGCCCUUGACGGAUGAAUGAUGAAGGAGGAAUCACAAACCAGCUAAUGGCCAUGUGCUGUGUGAGCCUUUUCCAAAUUCUAGACUUGCUCUACCAUUGACGGCCACUUCCAAGCUUAUAGGGCCCUGCCUUUGCGAGUAACCACACAUGCGUUGUUUCACGUCUGCAUGAUUGUAUCCAUAGAAUAAAUUCAUAGGAAUAGAAUUGUUAAUAGAAUUGCUCGACCAGGUUUCACAUGCAUUUGCCAUGCGAUGGAUGUGGCCAGUUUUCUGUUCUUCGAAGAGAUGGGCUUUAUGUAGCCUUCACAACACACAAGAACUGACUGCCCACACCCUGGCCCUGAGCAGGGCUUUGUGAGCAGGUUGAGCAUUUUCUUCAUGCGGUUAAGAGUGCCUUAUAUUUUGUUUUCUGUGAACUCAGUUGAAAUCCUUUGCUUCUUUUUACUUAUUGACUUACUGGUCUCUUUCUUAUUGAUUUAAAUAUUUGGAAAUGACUGUUUCUGGUAUUAAUUGCAAAUUUCUUUUUCAGCUUGUUAUUAUCUUUCAAUUGACUCGUGGUGGUGUUUCAUUCUAGGCAGAAGGUUUUAUUUUUGUGUCAUCAUAUUUCUUAGCAUUAUUAUGGCUUCUGGAUUUUGUCUUGUGUUUAGAUCUUCCCUACUCCAAUGUCAUAAAAAAUUCUCCCAUGGUCUCCUCUUUGCUUCUUUUCUUCCUUUUUUUUUUUUCUUUCUGGGAGUUACACCUUUGCUCUAUUUGGAAUUAAUUUUGGUGAAGUAUAGAACCAACUUCAUAGUUUUUCCAGGAGACUACCUAGUCAACAUCAUUAUAUGAAUAUCCUGUUUCCCCUCAUGAUUUGAAUGUCUUUGUCUUAUAAUUUGCAGUAUUUUGAGGUCUAUUUCUAUGCUUUCUAAUUAUUUAUUUGCCAGUAACAUAUUUUUAAAUGGACAUAGCUUUAAAUGGAAUUUUAUAAUAUGUUUUGAGAUCUGAUAGUAAUAGUUUCUCUAUUAUUUGUUUUUUCUUUUAGGUUUGUCUUAUGUAUUCUUAAAUAUUUCCUUACACAAAUUUAGAUUUAGCCUGUCUGGUUUUUAAAAAGUUAGCCUUUUAACUGGGAUUGUAUCAUAUGUGCAGAGACUAACUUUGCAAAAAUUGAAAGUCUGUAUACCUGCUUGGCUUCUGCCCCGUCUGUGCACAUCCCUCCGAGGCAGGGCCGUUUUCACAUUUCUUGCUAACCUUGUUGAAUUAUAUUUUUGCAUAUUUGUUUGCAAUUGCUCCUUCAGGGUUAUCCAGAUGCACAAUAAAAUAAUCUAUAAGUAAUCAUCA